CUAGGAUGAACGCUAGCUACAGGCUUAACACAUGCAAGUCGAGGGGGCAGCAUUGGAGUAGCAAUACUCAGAUGGCGACCGGCGCACGGGUGAGUAACACGUAUCCAACCUGCCGCUUACUCGGGGAUAGCCUUUCGAAAGAAAGAUUAAUACCCGAUGGUAUAAAGAGUUCGCAUGUUCUCUUUAUUAAAGAAUUUCGGUAAGCGAUGGGGAUGCGUUCCAUUAGAUUGUUGGCGGGGUAACGGCCCACCAAGUCUACGAUGGAUAGGGGUUCUGAGAGGAAGGUCCCCCACAUUGGAACUGAGACACGGUCCAAACUCCUACGGGAGGCAGCAGUGAGGAAUAUUGGUCAAUGGACGAGAGUCUGAACCAGCCCAAGUAGCGUGAAGGAUGACUGCCCUAUGGGUUGUAAACUUCUUUUAUAAGGGAAUAAAGUGAGGGACGUGUCCCUUUUUGUAUGUACCUUAUGAAUAAGGAUCGGCUAACUCCGUGCCAGCCGCCGC
rnacentral:rRNA from 1 species